GGUCGCCCCUUUUCCCCUCCACACCAUCCGAGCUCUUCGAGCUCUGUCUUUCUCUCUCUCUUCCUCAAGACCGGCUGCCGCCACCGUCGGCCGAUCUCUCUCACCGGAGCACCACUAACCAAAUCCUCUCACCACCAACAUUGCCUUACUCCGGCGAAUCCAUUUUUCCACUUUUCCCCUUCUCUUUCGUCCCAUUUCAAGCCCCACCGGAGCUCUCUCUCUCCUGCCGGUUCACGGUCUUGAGCUCGUCGUUCCGGCCAUUCCCUUAACCCCCUCUGCCGGCCACUACCUUACCUAGGUGUGCUGUACCCGGGAACACCACCGGCCGUCGGCGUCGCCGCCUUCCGAUUACUGGAGCCCCGACGCCCCUCUCCUCCUCCUCUCUGUUCGACCGGAGAGAAGAAGAAGGAAGAGACGGGAAGAAGAAGAAGAAGAAGAGAAAGAAAAAGAAAAAGAAAAGCCUGACAGAGUCCAUUUGGAGUUUGUGCCGAAGCUGGGAGUUCAAUUAUAUAAGUUAGUUUCAUGUCAACCUAAUUCUCAAGUCUAGAUUAGAUAGAUGGUUUAAGUCUAUAGCAAAACAGCAAAGUUAGUCUAUUCCAAAGCUUUUGCUGCACUAGUUAGCCACAAUCUUGUAAAUACCCUAUUACUUUAUGUAAUAAUAUCUCCUUCAAAGCUAUGUCUAAAUGUAUGUAAAGACGAUCCAGAUUAUUGAAAUUGUAUCAAUCUACUGAUCUAGGGCUUGAUACAAUUUUAAUAUGUCGGUUACCGAAUCAUUAGUUUUGGGACCCGACAGUUUCCUAUAUGUAGGUAAUUUUCAGGGCAACAUAUUGGCUUCGACAGUGGGUUCAACUACAAAAGUAUGAGGAAGAUGGAGUUUUCCUGAAUGUUGCAUGUCGUAAUCUUGAAACAAUGGUUAUGCAACUUUUCGCCAACUAUGGAUGGAGAUUCACCAAUAGACUGGAAUAUUGUUUUCCUUGUCAUGUUAGGUCUUCUUUAAAUUUUGGUUGGUUGGCUUGCUUUAUUUUGGACUACGUCUUUUUAAGUUUGCUACUUUUUGUAAUAAUUAGCUGUAGCUCUUCGGAAUAAAGGCCGGGAUGUUACAUUCCAUUAUUAAAAAAAAUUAUGGGAUUAGGAACAUAUUGGGCA